UAUUGGACAAUGGGCGAAAGCCUGAUCCAGCAAUACCGCGUGUGUGAAGAAGGCCUUAGGGUUGUAAAGCACUUUCAAUUGGGAGGAAAACCUGCCGGUCAAUACCCGGUAGCUUGACAUUACCUUUAGAAGAAGCACCGGCUAACUCCGUGCCAGCAGCCGCGGUAAUACGGAGGGUGCGAGCGUUAAUCGGAAUUACUGGGCGUAAAGCGUGCGUAGGCGGUUCGUUAAGUCAGAUGUGAAAGCCCUGGGCUCAACCUGGGAACUGCACUUGAAACUGGCGGACUAGAGUUUAGUAGAGGGGAGUGGAAUUUCAGGUGUAGCGGUGAAAUGCGCAGAUAUCUGAAGGAACACCAGUGGCGAAGGCGACUCCCUGGACUAGAACUGACGCUGAGUACGAAA
rnacentral:rRNA from 1 species